rnacentral:rRNA from 1 species
GACGAACGCUGGCGGCGUGCUUAACACAUGCAAGUCGAACGCUGAACCCGCUUCGGUGGGGGAUGAGUGGCGAACGGGUGCGUAACACGUGGGCAACCUGCCCCCGGCUCUGGGAUAACUCCAAGAAAUUGGGGCUAAUACCGGAUGUGACCGCUGGCCGCAUGGUCUGGUGGUGGAAAGGGUUUCCGGCUGGGGAUGGGCCCGCGGCCUAUCAGCUUGUUGGUGGGGUAGUGGCCUACCAAGGCGACGACGGGUAGCCGGCCUGAGAGGGUGACCGGCCACACUGGGACUGAGACACGGCCCAGACUCCUACGGGAGGCAGCAGUGGGGAAUAUUGCGCAAUGGGCGGAAGCCUGACGCAGCGACGCCGCGUGGGGGAUGACGGCCUUCGGGUUGUAAACCUCUUUCAGCAGGGACGAAGCGCAAGUGACGGUACCUGCAGAAGAAGCGCCGGCCAACUACGUG